rnacentral:miRNA from 1 species
UGAACCCAGUAUAGUCUAUGA